UGUCCGCCUUGAGAUCGACACUUAUAAAGCGGAGUGCGAUUAUCGCUGAUGCUAUUAAUGCAAUAAAUCGAUCAAUCAACUUCUGAUCAAUGCAAGGACGUAUCCACCAACAACAUGUGAUAAUCGAAUCACUUGAAAACCGCGGUUGAUUAUGGGAGGAUAGCAUCAAUGCUAAUGGGUCCGUUUUCGCUGGUGAUUAUUAUCUCAAUUGCCUGUUCCUCAUAAAACUUUCAAUAUAAUGCUGAGAUUGUCAAUCCACACGCUUUGAAGAUUAUUUUAAUUGGCCAAUAUGAAUUUUAACGAGCAUAAUUUAAUUGCAAUAAAUGUUUGUUCUCACAAACGCGCUUUUCUAUUUAAGUUAAUGUUGUUAAAUAUGAAUAAAAGCUACGUGAUGAGUGACACGUGAUUUUCGUUA